rnacentral:rRNA from 1 species
AAAGCUAUUUAGGUAGCGCCUCGUGAACUCAUCUCCGGGGGUAGAGCACUGUUUCGGCAAGGGGGUCAUCCCGACUUACCAACCCGAUGCAAACUGCGAAUACCGGAGAAUGUUAUCACGGGAGACACACGGCGGGUGCUAACGUCCGUCGUGAAGAGGGAAACAACCCAGACCGCCAGCUAAGGUCCCAAAGUCAUGGUUAAGUGGGAAACGAUGUGGGAAGGCCCAGACAGCCAGGAUGUUGGCUUAGAAGCAGCCAUCAUUUAAAGAAAGCGUAAUAGCUCACUGGUCGAGUCGGCCUGCGCGGAAGAUGUAACGGGGCUAAACCAUGCACCGAAGCUGCGGCAGCGACGCUUAUGCGUUGUUGGGUAGGGGAGCGUUCUGUAAGCCUGCGAAGGUGUACUGUGAGGUAUGCUGGAGGUAUCAGAAGUGCGAAUGCUGACAUAAGUAACGAUAAAGCGGGUGAAAAGCCCGCUCGCCGGAAGACCAAGGGUUCCUGUCCAACGUUAAUCGGGGCAGGGUGAGUCGACCCCUAAGGCGAGGCCGAAAGGCGUAGUCGAUGGGAAACAGGUUAAUAUUCCUGUACUUGGUGUUACUGCGAAGGGGGGACGGAGAAGGCUAUGUUGGCCGGGCGACGGUUGUCCCGGUUUAAGCGUGUAGGCUGGUUUUCCAGGCAAAUCCGGAAAAUCAAGGCUGAGGCGUGAUGACGAGGCACUACGGUGCUGAAGCAACAAAUGCCCUGCUUCCAGGAAAAGCCUCUAAGCAUCAGGUAACAUCAAAUCGUACCCCAAACCGACACAGGUGGUCAGGUAGAGAAUACCAAGGCGCUUGAGAGAACUCGGGUGAAGGAACUAGGCAAAAUGGUGCCGUAACUUCGGGAGAAGGCACGCUGAUAUGUAGGUGAAGUCCCUCGCGGAUGGAGCUGAAAUCAGUCGAAGAUACCAGCUGGCUGCAACUGUUUAUUAAAAACACAGCACUGUGCAAACACGAAAGUGGACGUAUACGGUGUGACGCCUGCCCGGUGCCGGAAGGUUAAUUGAUGGGGUCAGCGCAAGCGAAGCUCUUGAUCGAAGCCCCGGUAAACGGCGGCCGUAACUAUAACGGUCCUAAGGUAGCGAAAUUCCUUGUCGGGUAAGUUCCGACCUGCACGAAUGGCGUAAUGAUGGCCAGGCUGUCUCCACCCGAGACUCAGUGAAAUUGAACUCGCUGUGAAGAUGCAGUGUACCCGCGGCAAGACGGAAAGACCCCGUGAACCUUUACUAUAGCUUGACACUGAACAUUGAGCCUUGAUGUGUAGGAUAGGUGGGAGGCUUAGAAGUGUGGACGCCAGUCUGCAUGGAGCCGACCUUGAAAUACCACCCUUUAAUGUUUGAUGUUCUAACGU